AAUUCUUCAUUCUUCUACUCUUAAAUUCCACAACAAGAGAAUCGUUACUUGCUACGGAAUCACUAAAACCACACGCCAAACACCUACUAUUCACGCCAUCCACCAUGCAAAACGUGAUAUCCUUCGCAUUCAUGGGUAACUAAAUCUCUUAGUUGGGGUUAUGGAAGCCGAAUGAGUUACUAUCUAUAGCUAUGAGUUUGUGAGUUCAAGACAAGUAUAUUGCUUAUAUCAUUAUUCUCUUCAUCUUAAAUCUACAUUCUUUGCGGUUCAAACACAAGAACACGCCAUUCUAACAUCUAACCUGUUCGAGAGAAAGGUUAUUUGUAUAGAAAAGAAGACGCAUAGACCAACGCCAGUCUAACAUCUGACUUGUUCGAGAGAAAAGUUAUUUGUCUGGAAAAGAGAUAAUGUCAAGGUAGUAGGACACCCUUUCCUAUUAAAAAGCUAGUGCCGUACCUGGACUAACUUCUUGGAGAAUUCGUACCGUUAGUCACGAUUUAAGCUCGAGAGAGUUAAAGUGAAAUAGUCCUUGUUUAGGUCGAGAGACGCUUGGAUUUACCAUCGACUACAAUUCUCUAUAAGCAAUUACAUGUCAAGACUCUACACACUCAUAGCCAAUAGAGACGUAUACCUCAGAAGGUGGACAUAACCCCAACGCCUCAAUUCUCAUUGUUUACAACACAC
rnacentral:lncRNA from 1 species